rnacentral:rRNA from 1 species
AGAGUUUGAUCCUGGCUCAGAGAUGAACGCUGGCGGUAUGCCUUAACACAUGCAAGUCGAACGGAGUCCCUUCGGGGACUUAGUGGCGGACGGGUAGAGUAACACGUAGAGAACCUACCUUCAGAAUGGGGACAACAGUUGGAAACGACUGCUAAAUACCCAAUGUGCCGAAAGGUGAAAGAUUUAUCGUCUGAAGAUGGGCUCGCGUCUGAUUAGCUAGAUGGUGGGGUAAGAGCCUACCAUGGCAACGAUCAGUAGCUGGUCUGAGAGGAUGAGCAGCCACACUGGGACUGAGACACGGACCANACUCCUACGGGAGGCAGCACGUGGGGAAUUUUCCGCAAUGGGCGAAAAGCCUGACGGAGCAAUACCGACGUGGAGCGGAGGAAGGCUCUUGGGUUGUAAACCUCAAAACUUAGGAAGAAAAAAAACUGACGGUACCUAAUAUAAGCAUCGGGCUAAACUCCGUGCCCAGCAGCCGCGGUAAUACGGGGGAUGCAAGCGUUAUCCGGAAUCAUUGGGCGUAAAGCGUCCGUAGGUGGCACUUCAAGUCUGCUGUCAAAGACCGAAGCUCAACUUCGGGCAGGCGGUGGAAACUGAAGAGCUAGAGUAUAGUAGGGGUAGAGGGAAUUCCUAGUGUAGCGGUGAAAUGCGUAGAGAUUAGGAAGAACACCAGUGGGGAAGGCGCUCUACUGGGCAUAUACUUGACACUGAGGGACGAAAGCUAGGGUAGCGAAAGGGAUUAGAUACCCCUGUAGUCCUAGCGGUAAACGAUGGAUACUAGGUGUUGUCUGUAUCGACCCGGACAGUGCCGAAGCAAACGCGUUAAGAUCCCGCCUGGGGAGUACGCACGCAAGUGUGAAACUCAAAGGAAUUGACGGGGACCCGCACAAGCGGUGGAGUAUGUGGUUAAUUCGAUGCAACGCGAAGAACCUUACCAAGGCUUGACAUCCUGGGAAUCUUGAUGAAAGUUAAGAGUGCCGAAAGGAACCCAGAGACAGGUGGUGCAUGGCUGUCGUCAGCUCGUGUCGUGAGAUGUUGGGUUAAGUCCCGCAACGAGCGCAACCC